rnacentral:rRNA from 1 species
CUGAACCAGCCAAGUAGCGUGAAGGAUGACUGCCCUAUGGGUUGUAAACUUCUUUUAUAUGGGAAUAAAGUACUCCACGUGUGGGAUUUUGUAUGUACCAUAUGAAUAAGGAUCGGCUAACUCCGUGCCAGCAGCCGCGGUAAUACGGAGGAUCCGAACGUUAUCCGGAUUUAUUGGGUUUGAAGGGAGCGUAGAUGGAUGUUUAAGUCAGUUGUGAGAGUUUGCGG